UACGGGGGGGAGCAAGCGUUGUUCGGAUUUACUGGGCGUAAAGGGCGCGUAGGCGGUCAGCACAAGUCAGUUGUGAAAUCUCCGGGCUUAACUCGAAGGAUCAACUGAUACUGUGCGACUAGAGUGCGGAAGGGGCAACUGGAAUUCUCGGUGUAGCGGUGAAAUGCGUAGAUAUCGAGAGGAACACCAGUGGCGAAGGCGGGUCUCUGGACAGUUCCUGACGCUGAGGCACGAAGGUCAGGGGAGCAAACGGG
rnacentral:rRNA from 1 species